UCUCUCCAGCUGCAGCUCUCCUCUGUUCCUUCACUUCAUCACACUCUCACAGCAAAAAGACACAAGAAACUUCAGCCGCCAUUUCCCGCAGGACCACACCUGAGUGACGUCACGAGGCGGAAGCCGUGCACAGACAAGACCAGCUGCAGGAGAACCGGGCUGCAGGAGAACCGAGCUGCAGGAGAACCAGGCUGCAGGGGAACCGAGCUGCAGAGGUCAGUAAAGCGUGCUGGACCAAUGCGUCUCUCUCCUCUACCUGCCAGUUUGGUGUUGAGUAUCUGCUCGUACUCCUCGCGGAUCUUCUCUUCAUGGUCUUUCAGGAUGCGCUCACACAGG